GAGGCCGGGGAGAUGAUUCCGAAGAAAAGUGCUUGCCAAGGCAGCGUGAGAAAGGCAUGGAAACUUGUCUAUAAUCCCAGUGCUCAGGAGGCGGAGAUCCCAGGGACAGAGGCUACUAGACUAAGCAAACUGGUGGACUGCCUGCAUCAAUGUAAAAGGCAGAGAGCAGCACUGCCAUCCUUUGCUGCAAAGCUGAGGUUCGCACGAGCACCCCAGAACCAAACAAGAAAGCCCCGCCGUGAAGAACAGGAGGGAUAAGCAGAAGUUGGAGACUUUUAUACCUUCCCUCCCUUAGGCAAACAUAAAACUGUGGCCAGCAAUCCCAGAGAUGAAAGAUUAACUCAACCCUGCCCUGAACAAAAGACAAAAGUCCACUGAUCAGCAUGGAUGGCUCGGCCACACCUGGACCCUCACAAGCUCAUGCCACCACCUACAGGCCAAAUGUCAUCUGCUGCUCCUCCUGGUGUCCGAGGACAGGCUCAGCACAUCCACACUGCUCUAUCACCAAGGCCCCCUCAUUGCUGACCAGUCUGCCUCCUGGCUACCCCUGAAGAGUCCGCUCUGCGGGGCCUCAGUCUGUGGGACAGACGGAUGGGACGUGACCUGCACCUCUGGACUGAAGGGCAGCAAAACCCUAAGUGAAGAAAUGCAACCGUUUCCCACAGCACCAGAAAACCCUGAAAAGUGCCUGUUGGCUACCAGAGGUCCCGUCACUCCUCCAGCCUUUUGGGCUAACCGAACCCGUGUCACCACGGACAUGGCACCACGCUCCUCACAAGUGUCCUGGCCUCUAAAAGGAUUUGCUGGAAGUCAACUUGGUGCUGAGUGCAGGCUCCAGACAAAGCCGACACAGGAGAAUCUCUGCCUUCCAAGCCAUCCAGGCCAGGCCUGCCUUUGUCCUGUGCUUCAGAUGCCCAGGAGAACACAGGCCAGAGAAGGAAACGGUCCAAUGCAAGUUCUGGUGCCAGUCUAAGGAUGUGCUUACUGUUUGUGUUUCUUUUCUAAUGCCAAGGGUAGAACCCAGGGCCUUCACAUGCCAGGCAAAUGCUCUA